GAGGGAAAGGGAAGGAGAAGAGAAGGGAGAAGAAGGCGCAAGGGUCAUUCUGCUGUCCUGCCUCUAAGGCUAUUGAUUCCCUGCACUCCUGGGGUUGGUCUGAGGAUCUGUGUGUGUGUGUGUGUGUGUGUGUGUGUGUGUGUGUGUGUGUGUGUGUGUGUGUGUGUGUGUGUGUGUGCUCCUGUCGCUGGAUCUGCAUAAUGUUGUUGGUUUUUCACUGUAAUAAGUAGGUGACCCAUGGCAUUUAGAUUACCAUACGCUGGCCAUGAAGUAAUGACCUGAGUGGUUAGGUCAUUACUCUGGUCAAGCUAAGGUCUCCGGCGACAGGUAAGGUCAUUCAGGUGUCAGGUGAGGAGCACUCAGGUAACAAUACAACAUCAGAUGAGGUCCUGCAUACUAAAAUAUCGCAUACUUCAAAGGAAAUGGAUACUCAAACAGGAGAUCGUCAUUGCCAUCUCCAAUCCAUUCUCCAUUUCCUACUCCCCUCGUUCCCUUCCCCCCCAUCCAAUGUCUCCCUCGUGUGUCUCCAUCCCUCCUCCCCUCCCCCCUUUCGUGUUCCCAUAUCACCGGAGUCCUGUAAUACCGCUCACCCUAAUAUCCCUUUGUCCCUCGUGUGUCCCGUCGCCUACCUGUGCCUAAUUGCCUUCCAGUGGCCUUCAGUCGCUUGUGGCAAUGAGAUCAGAUUCCUUAAAAGCUGCAGGAGGAGAAGGAGGAGGAGGAGCAGCUGAAAUAUGAGAGGAAAAAGAAUAUUAACAGAAGGAUUUGCACUGAUGGUUUAAGGGAGAGGGAGAGGGGGAGUGAAAGGAGGGCAAGGACAGGAAAGGAAAGUGCAGGAGAAGGAGGAAGAGGAGCAGCUGAAAUUUGAGAGGAAAAAGAAAAUUAACAGACGGUUUGCACUGAUGGAUUGAGGGAGAGGGAGAAGGGGAGGGAAAGGAAGGUAAGGACAGGUAAGGUAAAGGAGGACAGGAGAGGUAAAGAAGUGAAGGAUAAGGGGAGGAGGGGGUGAUUAGAAGAAUAAGAUUGGGAUUUAAAGAACAAAGUAAAUAUAGGAGUGUAGGAAGUGGUAGCAAAGGGGGAGGAGUGAAGUAAAGGAAAGAAAAAGAGAAUACAAUGCAUGAAUUGGACAACAAAAUAAGGGAGUGAAGCGCAAGAAGAGUAAUGUAACAGAAACAAAGAGAGGAAGAGAAUAAUAUUAGUGCAAGAAGGAAGAAGGGAGUGAAGUAAAGAAAAAGAAAAAAAGGAAGAGGAGACAGCAAUGCAGGAGCAGGUGUGAGGGAGUGGGAGGUCACGUGCAGCAGAUAAGACGCAAAGCAAGACGAAGGUGAGCUCAGGUGAGGUCCCGUUCACGUGGACUGGCUAGCGUAUUAGGUCAGAGAGAGAGAGAGAGAGAGAGAGAGAGAAGAAACAAAGAAAAGAGAAAGAAAAUUAAGAAAAGAGAAGAAAAGAAAAGAAAAAACGAGAAGACAAAAAGGAAAAUGGAAUAAAGGCAAAAAAGAGUUAAAAUAUGAAUGAGAGAGAGAGAGAGAGAGAGAGAGAGAGAGAGAGAGAGAGAGAGAGAGAGAGAGAGAGAGAGAGAGAGAGAGAGAGAGAGAGAGAGA